GUUCGCCUCGGAGGCGGGCCGUAGCAGCUGCUGUUCACGCCUGUGACCAGACUCAUCCAAACUAGACAAGACCGGAGCCAACAUCCACAUGCAAAUUAAGACAUAUACUGAGAAAGUUUGCAGGACAGCGAAUACACCAUUAGAACAUCAAACAACAUCAUCAAAAACAUCAAAAGAUGGUAUACGUGGACAACGACUGCGCGACGACUUCUCAACCACUUCACGAUCUGCGAUAGGAGUGCUACCUGAAGAAAGUACUAAUUGUGGAAAAUAAAAACGGUAUUGGAUC